rnacentral:rRNA from 1 species
CUGGCUCAGGAUGAACGCUGGCGGCGUGCCUAACACAUGCAAGUCGAACGGGGUUAAGGGAAGUUUCGGAUGGAACUUAACUUAGUGGCGGACGGGUGAGUAACGCGUGGAUAACCUGCCUCGCACUGGGGGAUAGCAGCUGGAAACGGCUGGUAAUACCGCAUAAGACCACAAUGCCGCAUGGCACUGGGGUAAAAGAUUUAUCGGUGCGAGAUGGAUCCGCGUCUGAUUAGCCAGUUGGCGGGGUAACGGCCCACCAAAGCGACGAUCAGUAGCCGGCCUGAGAGGGUGAACGGCCACAUUGGGACUGAGACACGGCCCAAACUCCUACGGGAGGCAGCAGUGGGGAAUAUUGCACAAUGGGCGCAAGCCUGAUGCAGCAACGCCGCGUGAGUGAAGAAGUAUUUCGGUAUGUAAAGCUCUAUCGGCAGGGAAGAAAGGCCCGAAAGGGAGAUGACGGUACCUGACUAAGAAGCCCCGGCUAACUACGUGCCAGCAGCCGC